UGGGGAAUAUUGGACAAUGGGGGCAACCCUGAUCCAGCAAUGCCGCGUGUGUGAAGAAGGUCUUCGGAUUGUAAAGCACUUUCGACGGGGACGAUGAUGACGGUACCCGUAGAAGAAGCCCGGCUAACUUCGUGCCAGCAGCCGCGGUAAUACGAAGGGGGCUAGCGUUGCUCGGAAUGACUGGGCGUAAAGGGCGUGUAGGCGGUUUACACAGUCAGAUGUGAAAUCCCCGGGCUUAACCUGGGAGCUGCAUUUGAUACGUGUAGACUAGAGUGUGAGAGAGGUUGUGAUUCC
rnacentral:rRNA from 1 species